GGGGUUUCUAAAAAAACUGCAGAAGAAAAAAAAGGAAAAAAAAAGCAUUCUUCUCUCAACUCCCCCUAUCGUCGGCCGAAUGGGCCACCGUCGACCCCGCCGUGAGCGGUGGUCAGAAGACCAAACGUCGGGUUUUAAACCCUGCUUCGAGGACCAACUGAAGACCAAGUCUUCAUGGCCUCGGGGUCGCGAGAGAAAAAUCAAAUCGCCGCCCUCCCCGC
rnacentral:lncRNA from 1 species